GGCGGGGAGCUGCGGUAGCUGCGGCUGUACUGCAUCGCCCGCUCUCUCCCCCCUCCUGCUUGAGGAGAAUGGUACGAGCCGCUGCAGCCUGGGCGGAGGAUGGCAGAGCGGCUCCGUCUCGUCCCGCCGUGCGGCUUUCGAUCGCGGGGAGCUCUCUCGGCGCGUCCGGUGUGGCAGGCAGAGAUGUCCUCUUCUUACCGCUGCGCCAUCGCAUGUUUUGCUUGUGGAGGGCGGUCGGGCGGCCGUGGCUGCCUCGUGCCUGCUGCCGUCGGCUUUGAAGGCUUUGUCUUACGGAGCCACAGCUCCUCAUGGGGCAGGAUAUAAAUGCCAAAGACCACACUACACCAUGUGCUUUGAAGAAGUCCCUGCUGAAAUCACAGGGCAGUUCUGCUUUCAAAGUGACUGCGAGUUGCCCUAGCAUGUGCCUGGAUUGCAACAUUUUCUGAUGGAUCUUGUAAAACUCUCUUUGGUACUUGCUUUAACGAAGAGAGAAAGAGGCUCCCAACUGUCCCACUGUGACCCAAACAAGAGCACUGAGAGAGCAGAGCAGGAUUGGUUGCUGCAUUCAAAACCUUUCUAGGAGGAAAGCCUCCCAUAUGGAGAAAAGGUUCUCUGUAAAUAACAGUAACAGCUUGACUUCCAGUCCUGAAAAGACAAUGUGAUGCAUGGUAGGCUGUUGUACACUGCCAAGCUUCCUAAGGCACAAGAACAGGAACCCAGCUCUGCAAGCACCAGGUGCGGUGUCAAGGUCAAGCCCAGAGGCAUCACCUGCAGUUGUUCCAGACAUCCUGUUUCCUCCCUGACUGUAGUGUGUGCAGGACCUUGCAUGAUGGAAAUGUUGUAGCAAACAUCGCUGUACAUUUGCAAAAUUGAGUUGUCAAGCUCACAUUUUCAAAGCACCAAUCCAUCCUAAUUUAGACACCGGGUAAGCAAGCUCAUUUUCAGAGGUGCUGAGUACCUAGCAUCGGUUGAACUGAAUGGACAUUCCAUAUGUCCUAUUCUUUUUUUGUUGUUGUUAAAUUUGUAUUUAUGAGCAUCUUCCACAAUUUCUGGGUGCAUAUUGGCUUUCAGAUCUAUAAUGCUUUUUUUUUUCUUUUUUAUUAAGGAACUUCCACUUACUAAUGCUUUUCUCAGGUACUUCAAAAUGCCCCAAACUGAAAUUCUUGAAUGGGCCUGAAUAAUGUUUUAAAAUGACAUCAGUUUGGAAUAAAAAUAAUACAGUAAUUUAUACAUAUUAAAUAUUUAAAACUUUCUGUUGUUACUCAUGCACAUUUGAGAUAUGCUAUCUGUCUUUUUAAACAAUGAUAUACUAUAUCAUUAUAAAUAAAAGAUAUACUAAUUUGGGAUUUCUGUCAGGAGCUGAUGGUACUAAAAUCUUAUUUGCUUAAGGACUAAAUAUUUUCCUUCCAGGCUUGCCAACACUUUAAAACCUUCCUGAUACCUCCUAGGGAAAAAAAAAAAAAAGCCUCCGUUUAAAACACUGGACUUCUCUGAACUGCUGUGGUGAUAUCAUUGUAAACAUUCAAAUCUUAAUUUUACACACAUGAGUAUUCUCAUUUGGGUCCAUAUGACUCAUCACUACAGAAAGCUAAAUGCAUGCAAUAUGGGACUGCAUCCUAUCGGAGGACAAUCAUUUUACACAUUUCUGAGCCAUUUGGUAUGGAUUCAAACCUCACCUGCAUGUUGUCCAUUCAUUCAGUUUUGCAAGGGCUGCUUCCAAUAAUCCAAAUGUCUGUGCAAAUGCAAGCAUUCCUUUUUGCCAAACAAAAAUUACUUUCUGCUGCCAAGGAAAUGCUACCUUUGUCCACCUUCAGCUGUGGAAUUUAUCCCUUCCUCCUCUGCUACUCGAAGUGAAGCAACUUUUAAAUUUUACUUGGAGCAAGAAUUGAACCAAAGUUUAGAAAGAAGCGUGAUUCAUUAAGUCAAGGCUGCUUAAAAGAGAAAUGUUUCCGCUUAUGAUUAUGUUUCAUUUUAGAAUUUUUCAACGCACAAAUUACAAUUACGGCCAAAUUUAUCUAUUUUAUUCUUCAGUGGUCCAAACAUUUACAUGUGAAGCUUUAAAUCCAUUGAUAUACAGGUUUAAGGGUCAGCUGUAUAUAUGGAACAAUGCUACAUUUCAUCAGAGUAAAAGCCCACUUGAUACAUGUAACUUUAGCUGAUGCACCAAAAUAUAAAAAUAAUUAGGAUUCAUUUUAUGUUAUAUAGUAUGAAAUACUGUUCUUGUUACGUGUCAAAUUAUUGUUUUGUUUUGUUUUGCUCAAAACAAAUGCUCCUGGCAUUGAAACAAGCUUUUUUCUUUCUUCUUAUUUUUCUUCCUAUUAGACAAGAAUCACACUCCUUCAUUCUUGUGACUAAUGCUGGAUACACAGAAAAGCCGAAACAACAGAUAAAUAUAAAAACUGAAAAGGCUAAUAAAAUUGUAUAAGGAAACAUGAAUCAUGCUUCAUUGCACAUUAAAAUAAGCUCAUUUAAAUGA